rnacentral:rRNA from 1 species
UACGGAGGGUGCGAGCGUUGUCCGGAAUCAUUGGGCGUAAAGGGCGCGUAGGUGGCCCCUCAAGCGUGCGGUGAAAGUCAGGGGCUCAACCCCUGAUCGGCCGUGCGAACUGGGGAGCUUGAGCACUGUAGAGGCAGGCGGAAUUCCGGGUGUAGCGGUGGAAUGCGUAGAGAUCCGGAAGAACACCGGUGGCGAAGGCGGCCUGCUGGCAGUUUGCUGACACUGAGGCGCGACAGCGUGGGAGCAAACAGG